AUUGAACGCUGGCGGCAUGCUUUACACAUGCAAGUCGAACGGUAACAGGCCUUCGGGUGCUGACGAGUGGCGAACGGGUGAGUAAUGCAUCGGAACGUGCCCAGCGGUGGGGGAUAACGCAGCGAAAGCUGUGCUAAUACCGCAUGUGAUCUGAGGAUGAAAGCGGGGGACCAGGCAGCAAUGUUUGGCCUCGCGCCUUUGGAGCGGCCGAUGUCCGAUUAGGUAGUUGGUGGGGUAAAGGCCUACCCAGCCGACGAUCUGUAGCUGGUCUGAGAGGACGACCGGCCACACUGGGACUGAGACACGGCCCAGACUCCUACGGGAGGCAGCAGUGGGGAAUUUUGGACAAUGGGCGCAAGCCUGAUCCAGCAAUGCCGCGUGCGGGAAGAAGGCCUUCGGGUUGUAAACCGCUUUUGUACGGAACGAAAAGGCUCUGGCUAAUACCUGGGGCUGAUGACGGUACCGGAAGAAUAAGCACCGGCUAACUACGUG
rnacentral:rRNA from 1 species